rnacentral:misc_RNA from 1 species
AAGAGUGUAAAAACUCCCAAACCCAUGUGAACUUACCACUGUUGCCUCGGGGGGCUACCCGGUAGCGAUACCGGUGCCUGCCGCCCGACGGCCCCUUUAAACUCUCUGAUUUUAGUAUCUCUGAGCAACUUUUAAAUAAGUAA